rnacentral:rRNA from 1 species
UAGCCGGUACUCCGAAUGCAACUAGAGUUAAUUUGAUCAUGGCUCAGAGUGCACGCGUGGNUUGUAGGCCUAACACAUGCAAGUCGAACGGCAGCACAGGAGAGCUUGCUCUCUGGGUGGCGAGUGGCGGACGGGUGAGGAAUACAUCGGAAUCUACUCUGUCGUGGGGGAUAACGUAGGGAAACUUACGCUAAUACCGCAUACGACCUACGGGUGAAAGCAGGGGAUCUUCGGACCUUGCGCGAUUGAAUGAGCCGAUGUCGGAUUAGCUAGUUGGCGGGGUAAAGGCCCACCAAGGCGACGAUCCGUAGCUGGUCUGAGAGGAUGAUCAGCCACACUGGAACUGAGACACGGUCCAGACUCCUACGGGAGGCAGCAGUGGGGAAUAUUGGACAAUGGGCGCAAGCCUGAUCCAGCCAUACCGCGUGGGUGAAGAAGGCCUUCGGGUUGUAAAGCCCUUUUGUUGGGAAAGAAAUCCAGCCGGCUAAUACCUGGUUGGGAUGACGGUACCCAAAGAAUAAGCACCGGCUAACUUCGUUGCCAGCAGCCGCGGUAAUACGAAGGGUGCAAGCGUUACUCGGAAUUACUGGGCGUAAAGCGUGCGUAGGUGGUUAUUUAAGUCCCUUGUAACCUGGUCAACUGAACUGUUGAUU